rnacentral:lncRNA from 1 species
GUUGAUAUCUUGCCUAACAGGGAAUUCAUGCUAUAUGGACGAUCUGCCAAUAGUCCCCCAUAUGGAGGGCCUCCUAAUGAUCCACCAUAUGGAAGACCUGCCAUUGAUCCACCAUAUGGAAGACCUGCCAUUGAUCCACCAUAUGGAAGACCAGCCAUUGAUCCACCAUAUAGAAGACCUGCCAAUGAUACAUCAUAUGGAGGGUUGAACAAUGAUGGGCCUCGUGAUCCUUACACUGCGUAUCCUGUAGAGUACUUCUCUAAAAGAGAGUACCCUAGUGGAAAUAGCAAAGUUACACCAUCUGCUUCAUACGACAGAUAUGCAGCAACUACUCGCUUGCCUAAUAGAGAACUGCCCUCAUCUAUUAGUCCUGGUGCCGAUUAUAUGUCCCGCCGUUCUUAUCUUGACCAAGUAC